GCAGGGGGUUUGGAAUUAGAUGAUCUUAAGGUCUUUUUCAACCCCAACUAUUCUAUGAUUCUAUGAUUUGGGGAUUUCACUGAAACAAAAUACAGUAUUAUGCUUAUUGACUUACAGUGCAUUUUUGUAAAAGGUUAUUUUAAUAACAUGUUUAGAACACCUGAAGAGGGAAAAAUAUUAUGCAGAUGGACUGAAAAGAUUGCCCUAAUUGCUUAGGGAGGAGAUGGAUACAUAACACACUGUCCCCAGAUUUGAGGGGUUUUCUUGGACUUUGCAACAUGACCUUUUUCUUGUACUGUAUCUGAUACCCAAAAUAUUCUUUUCUGCCUUUGUUUAGCCUGAUUAAAUUGUUUCAGUUGUAGCCCUCCAUCACAGUUACAGAUAGCUUUUGAAAGGGAUUUUGGGGCAGCAGGGAAGUCUGGACAGGUCGUGUGCACUUGCAUGUGUUUUGAGAAUACAGAUGGUUUGGAGCCAUGUGCUCAAGUCUGGUUUUCUGUUCUGACCACUUCUGUUUGUCCUGGAAGACUUACAGUGGCUAUACCUGUUCUUCAAAGAAUUUCUAAAGCCUGUAUUUAUAGUUUACAACUUAUGCAACUGUGUUGUUAUUCCCACAAGGGUGACUACCAUGGAGAAUUUUAAUGUGUAUUUAUGAAAACCCCAAUCAGAAUACAUUGCUUAUACUGCAUAAGCAAUGACUAUAUGAAUAAUUGAUGUAUAUUUUCAGGGAUUUGUAUUAGGUUUCUCAACAGAGGGACUAUUGAGAUUCAUGCAUGUGUCUGUGUAUAUACACACACCUAUACUUAUAUAUACAUAUGUAUAAAUACAGAUAAAACUAAUUUAUAUAACUUAAGUGUGUGUGGUUCUGUAUUUAUAUGUGGCAAUCUAUACUCAUGAGUGGGGCCUGUGCUGACAAGCCUAGUGAUGCCUAGUGUCCAUCACUAGGGCAUGAUGGACAGCACUGGGCAUGUUGUAGCCCAGGGUCCUGCAUCAUCUGCAGUCCUGUAGGUGAUCCCAGCAGUCCUGUCCUCUGCUCCCUGGCCUGCUCUUGGCUGCUGUGAGACAGCAGUGGUCUGUGGCUUUUUAUUACCACAUUAAUAUGUUGUAUUUGCCAAAAUGUAAAGAGCGAGAUGCCUGUGAAUAAACUAUGCACGCUCCUUGAUGGCCUUAAAACUGCUGGAUUUAUGCUGGAUGCCUCUAUCCCAAGAUCAAGUAUUGGCUUUUUAGCUUUUCUUAACUUGUAAAUUCAUGUCGUCUAGGAUCUGCAACAUGUUUUUAUUUCCCUUUUAGUCAUUCAACAACCAUUAUUGCCAAGUUAAUUUUAAAAGUAAUUUUGAGUAAUCCUAUUGAUGUGGUAUUAUGUUUUGCCAUCACAGGAAGCAAAAUCCUUGUCAUUAUGGACCAUGCAAAAUGUUUCAUGUUGGUUUGUAAAGACCAUAUGCUGGCUAAGAAUCUCUCAGCUGACUUGUUUCAAAUAUUUGAUUGACAGAGGAAUGUUCUCAGAGCCUGAAAAUCUACAUUACAGCUUCUAUUGAGGGAACAAUUGCAGUAGUUUGGGUAUAACAAGACAGCCCUCCAAAGGUCUCCGGAGGGAUCAGAGAUGCCUUCGUGCUGUUGUUGCUUUUGAUCUAAAAAAGAAAACCAUUAAUGGCCUUGUCACCUAUUUUGAACCAGUUUAAACAUGGGAAAAAGACUUGACCAAGUUUCAAACAGCGCUCUUCAUAGUCACCAGCCAUCUAACAAGGAGGAAGAAGUCUCUCCAUCAAGGCCUAAGAGGAUCAAGAUCCAGGAGGUUUCCUUCUGCAGUUACCUGGAUCUGUGACUCAGUUUCCCUGUUGAUAGAAUGGGAAUGAUGUUACUUUCUGAUUUGCUGACACUGCAGUACUGCCAGACUUCACUCAUUAAUAUUCUAAGAUGCUUGCUGAGGCUCUGGGAUGAAAAUACUUCAGUAAAGAAUGUAAAUAGUGCAAAAAAUAAUUUAGCUAUCAAAGUGGAUUAGUUUCCUUGUCUGGGUUACAGAAUUAUUGCCAUCAAGUACACAUCCCGUGCCUCUUUGCUGUGAGGAUAUUUUUUUCUAAUAAAGAAUCUAUUUUAAAGAAAGAAAAAUAAAUAACCUGAGGUUUGUGAUUCAAACCUUCACCAAGUCAGGUAGAUUUUCUUCUACCUGUAACAACAUAUUUCCUGUUUGAUUCAUUACAACCUUAGCUCCUGUACCUGUGAACUACAGUGGCUUUGUAAGUUCUGUUGGGAUUCUCCUUGUAUACUGAGAAUUAUUUUUUUUAAAUAUAUUAUUUUGAAUCUAAUAUAUUAACUGAACACUAUUAAAUCCUUCUGUUGAGAAUAAUUUUUGUAAUAAAAAUUAAUAAAUCCAGAUUUUAUAAACA